rnacentral:rRNA from 1 species
UACGUAGGGUGCAAGCGUUGUCCGGAAUUAUUGGGCGUAAAGAGCUCGUAGGCGGUCUGUCGCGUCGGCUGUGAAAACUCGGGGCUCAACCCCGAGCCUGCAGUCGAUACGGGCAGACUAGAGUGCUGUAGGGGAGACUGGAAUUCCCGGUGUAGCGGUGAAAUGCGCAGAUAUCGGGAAGAACACCCGUGGCGAAGGCGGCUCUCUGGGACGGUACUGACGCUGAGACGCGAAAGCGUGGGGAGCGAACAGG